rnacentral:lncRNA from 1 species
UUAUUUUGAUUCUUUAUAACUGCAGUUUGAUUUUUAAUAUUACGUCUUGUGCUUAAUUAAUUGUUGUUGAGGCGGCGCCUUUAAUGUGAGAAGCGGUGAUUCUAAAAUCAAUUAUUGCCUCGUGAAGAUUUGAAACUAGCUAAUUGUUAAUAGCCGCAAUUGUUGAUUGUCAGCUAAAGUUUAACCUUUUACCUUUUCUUAUAUAUAGCCUCCUCCUCAAUAUAAUCAGGAUUUUGCUUCAUCAUCAUUGCGGUUGUUAUUAUAUAUUGUGUGCUUCUGUUGUUACUGCUACUCUGAUUAUUGUAAUUAUCUCAAUAUAUAUUGUUGGAUAGUACACCCGUGAAGCACAAUACAACUUAAAACAAAAGAAAGAUUACAACGGAAAAAUUGGAAAUGCACUAAAAAACAAACUAGAACAAACUCAAAGCCGAGUCGAGGAGUCCUCUCUCCGCAAGACGAGAUACGCCCCGGUAGUGCUCACGGUAAGGCGUGUCGUCCCCAAAGAUGAAACGGCUUCGUCCUUCAAAGUAGCAGCACCGCGAACUAAGAAGGCUCCGGCGAACUAGAUGAAACGAGAAUUGAGCUUUACGCUCCUACGAAUGCAGCUAGGAUGAUGAUAUGAGAUGGAGAGA